rnacentral:rRNA from 1 species
CCUACGGGCGGCAGCAGUGGGGAAUAUUGGACAAUGGGGGCAACCCUGAUCCAGCCAUGCCGCGUGUGUGAAGAAGUCCCUCGGGUUGUAAAGCACUUUCAGUGAGGAAGAACGCCUGGUGGUUAAUACCCAUCAGGAAAGACAUCACUCACAGAAGAAGCACCGGCUAACUCCGGGCCAGCAGCCGCGGUAAUACGGAGGGUGCGAGCGUUAAUCGGAAUUACUGGGCGUAAAGCGCGCGUAGGUGGCUUGAUAAGCCGGUUGUGAAAGCCCCGGGCUCAACCUGGGAACGGCAUCCGGAACUGUCAAGCUAGAGUGCAGGAGAGGAAGGUAGAAUUCCCGGUGUAGCGGUGAAAUGCGUAGAGAUCGGGAGGAAUACCAGUGGCGAAGGCGGCCUUCUGGACUGACACUGACACUGAGGUGCGAAAGCGUGGGUAGCAAACAGGAUUAGAUACCCUAGUAGUC